GACGAACGCUGGCGGCGUGCCUAACACAUGCAAGUGGAGCGACGAACCAGGGCUUGCCCUGGGGCUCAGCCGCGAACGGGUGAGUAACACGUGGGUAACCUGCCCCGAUGACCGGGACAACCCGAGGAAACUCGGGCUAAUACCGGAUGUGAUGUACACACAUGAGUGUGUCCAUCAAAGGAAGCUUCGGCCUCCACAUUGGGCUGGGCCCGCGGCCCAUUAGCUUGUUGGUGGGGUAAUGGCCUACCAAGGCAACGGCGGGUAGCUGGUCUGAGAGGACGAUCAGCCACACUGGGACUGAGACACGGCCCAGACUCCUACGGGAGGCAGCAGUGGGGAAUCUUGCGCAAUGCGCGAAAGCGUGACGCAGCAACGCCGCGUGAGGGAAGACGGCCUUCGGGUUGUAAACCUCUUUCAGGAGGGACGAAGGCCCACCCGCGAAUAGCGAGGUGGGUUGACGGUACCUCCAGAAGAAGCCCCGGCUAACUACGUGCCAGCAGCCGCGGUAAAAC
rnacentral:rRNA from 1 species